rnacentral:snoRNA from 1 species
UUCAAAUGAUGAUACAAAAUAUCAGUUCUGCUUCUGAACCACGGAAGGAAGACAACCUAUUUACCAAAGCUCAAUUAGUUUCUGACAA